UACGUAGGUGGCAAGCGUUGUCCGGAUUUAUUGGGUUUAAAGGGUGCGUAGGCGGUCCUAUAAGUCAGUUGUGAAAUACGGCAGCUUAACUGUCGAGGUGCAAUUGAUACUGCAGGACUUGAGUACAGACGAGGUAGGCGGAAUUGACGGUGUAGCGGUGAAAUGCUUAGAUAUCGUCAAGAACACCGAUAGCGAAGGCAGCUUACUAGACUGUAACUGACGCUGAGGCACGAAAGCGUGGGGAGCAAACAGG
rnacentral:rRNA from 1 species